UCCCACCUGGGUAACUGGGUGGGGGAAGCGGCGAAAGGGGCAGUAAGGCAUGGGUAACCUGCCUCGGGGAUGGGGAUAGCCCUCCUAACGGAGGGGUAAUACCCAGCGAUCUGGCGAGAAGGCAUCUUCUUGCCAGGAAACGAAUCUCGCCUCGAGAGGGGCUCAUGUGGUAUUAGCUAGUUGGUGAGGUAAUGGCUCACCAAGGCCAAGAUGCCUAGCAGGUGUGAGAGCACGACCUGCGCCACUGGCACUGGGACACUGGCCAGACUCCUACGGGAGGCUGCAGUCGAGGAUCUUCGGCAAUGGGCGCAAGCCUGACCGAGCGACGCCGCGUGUGCGAUGAAGGCCUUCGGGUUGUAAAGCACUGUCGAGGGGGAGAAAAGCCCGCAAGGGUCUGAUCUAUCCCUGGAGGAAGCACGGGCUAAGUUCGUGCCAGCAGCCGCGGUAAGACGAACCGUGCGAACGUUGUUCGGAAUCACUGGGCUUAAAGGGCGCGUAGGCGGGCAGUCAAGUCUGUGGUGAAAUCCUCCGGCUCAACCGGAGAAUAGCUGGAGAUACUGACUGUCUCGAGGGGGGUAGGGGCAUGUGGAACUUCCGGUGGAGCGGUGAAAUGCGUAGAUAUCGGAAGGAACGCCGGUGGCGAAAGCGACGUGCUGGACCCUUUCUGACGCUGAGGCGCGAAAGCCAGGGGAGCAAACGGGAUUAGAUACCCCGGUAGUCCUGGCCCUAAACGAUGGGUACUAGAUUGUGGACUGACAUGGGUUCACAGUCGAAGCAAAAGUGUUAAGUACCCCGCCUGGGGAGUAUGGU
rnacentral:rRNA from 1 species